rnacentral:rRNA from 1 species
CCUACGGGAGGCAGCAGUGAGGAAUCUUGCGCAAUGGGCGAAAGCCUGACGCAGCGACGCCGCGUGGGGGAUGAAGGUCUUCGGAUUGUAAACUCCUGUUAAGUGGGAAGAAAAGCUUAAUUAUAAUACAAUUAAGUCAUGACGGUACCAUUAGAGAAAGCACCGGCUAACUUCGUGCCAGCAGCCGCGGUAAUACGAGGGGUGCAAGCGUUAUUCGGAAUCAUUGGGCGUAAAGGGUGCGUAGGCGGCGCAUUAAGUCAACUGUUAAAUUCCUCGGCCUAACUGAGGGCUCGCAGUAGAAACUGAUGUGCUAGAGGAUGGAAGAGAGAAGUGGAAUUCUCGGAGUAGCGGUAAUAUGCGUAGAUCUCGAGAGGAACACCGAUGGCGAAGGCAGCUUCUUGGUCCAUUUCUGACGCUGAGGCACGAAAGCGUGGGGAGCAAACAGGAUUAGAUACCCUGGUAGUCCACGCUGUAAACGAUGAUCACUAGACGUUAGUCUUGCUUUUGCAAGAUUAGUGUCGUAGCUAACGCGUUAAGUGAUCCGCCUGGGGACUACGGUCGCAAGACUAAAACUCAAAGGAAUUGACGG